rnacentral:rRNA from 1 species
UACGUAGGGUGCGAGCGUUAAUCGGAAUUACUGGGCGUAAAGCGUGCGCAGGCGGUUCGUUGUGUCGGCGGUGAAAGCCCCGGGCUUAACCUGGGAAUGGCCGUUGAAACUGGCGAACUGGAGUGUGGCAGAGGGGGGUGGAAUUCCCGGUGUAGUGGUGAAAUGCGUAGAGAUCGGGAGGAACACCAGUGGCGAAGGCGGCCGGCUGGGGGUGACCUGACGCUGAGGCGCGAAAGCGUGGGGAGCGAACCGG